UCACAGAAAUCAGCCUGCCUCAGCCACUGGAAUGCUGGGAUUAAAGGUUGCUGCAUUAAGAAGGCUGAGAACCACUGACUUAAAAAGACCUAAAUCUAGACACACACGGACAUCUGAGGGUUACAAACAAAUAUAGACACCAAGCAGCGCUGUGAAGUAACCCCCACACUCCUAAGACACCCAUGGAAGAGCAAAGGUCAGACUGACUUCCGGUCUGCAAUGGAGAGAGUACCACAUACCAGAAUUUAUACACAGCCCAGGAGACUUUCUUGGUUACACAAGCUGGCUUCCUGAUACUCCCCAGUUUUCUGAGGACGUCUCCUCCGUGUUAUGAAAUACAACCGUGAGACUGAAAAAAUAAACCGUAUGUUUCCAGAAAGAAGGGAAGAAAGGAACAAUACGGCUGUGUGCCCACCAUCUUGGCCACUUCAGGAAGAGAUAAGAUGCAGUCUAAUUUGCAUACAUACUCAGGAGCCCGAAGGAUAACCAGCCACGUUGUACUGGGUGGAGGGUAACUCCUCUCCCUUCUAAAAUGUCUCCUCCUGUGGUCACUCUCUCCUCUCCUAGAAAAGUGGGAAGAGAUGCUGCCAGGUUGGGAUCUCAGAUGUCCGCCACACACCACCUUACAGCCUCACCCUCAACAGUGACACCAUCUGAAGUCUCAAGUUUCCAAGGUCAAAGUUGAUGACAUCUGUAUUUUCAAUGUCCAAGACUUCCUAGGAAGUGACCAUCAAUAUUCAUUACAUCCUGGCAGCUGUCAAGAUGCCUUAGUAUUCUAAAAACUGUGAGCUCUUCUGAGCUGGGUGCCCUGAAGGAAUUCGAUAUACCUGCAGGUUUGGUUACUGUGUCCAUUGGACCGCAGCCAAAGGCCACAGCGCUCCCUUCCUGCAUCUUAAGUGGGUUCUGACGGGAAAUUCUGAUAAAUGCCUAAAGAAGUGAUUGAACUCUGCAGCCCCAACUGUUAGAGUCAAUGGGGAACAUUGAAAAAUGGAACAGUCAUUAACGCCCCUAUGUGCUUAAGCAGAGGAAGGUGUUUGCACUUGGGCUGUGCACGGAACAGCUGUGGAAAGACAGAAAACACGUCAAGAGGACCUGUCUGGAUGCCACCCGUAUCCAAUCGUCCUUCGGAGCUGACUCAGCUCUGGAUAGCAGAGUGAUCAGCUCUGGACUCUGCUCUGGGUAGCUGAAAGAUGAGCUCCGGACUCCCUGCUUUUGGUCCUCUGCUCUCUCAGCUACUUUCCAGUUUAGCUCCCUCUGUCUCUUUCUCCUUCAGUCUUUCAAGGCUUAUCUAUUCUUUGAACUAAAA